AUUUCUCGCACACCUGGGAGCCACACUGUCAUCCGUGAAGGGAGUCUGCUCUUAUAUUUUUGUGUUUUUUGAAGCGAAUUAUCCUGUUGCCGAGGGAGCCAUGCAUCUAGAAACGGCUGGGGAAGGAGACGGUGGCUGAGUGGUUAGCGUGCCGGUCCUGCGUUCGCUGCAUGAUUGAUGAGGAGGGUUUGAAUCCACCGCUGCCACAGUCUACCUGUCCUGACGACCACCACCAUCAUCCUGGACUGUAUGGGACUGUCCAAGGGAAAGCAAGAUGGGGCCGCUAUAAACACUUGCCGGCUUGGGGCCACCACCAGGCCCAGCCAAGGGAGGUUGGUGUAGCAGUGCCGGGAGGUUCCAUAACACAGGGCACUCCUCACCUCAACAACAGUCUCUUCACCGACAAGUAAUUCUUCACCAACAAGCUUUUCAGCAGCUUGGAGAAAUAGACACUACCAAACGAAGAAGAGGAGGAGGAGGACUGGGAAGAAGACGAGGAACACCGGAGGAACCCAUUGAAUUGAACGGCUGAACGGACAACUCUAGCGUCUUGGUCUGCACACCACACACUCUGGAAGAAGGAAGAACACCAAGAUGUCAAGUUCCUGCAGAAUCAGCCUCUUAGUGAAGGAAAUGUGCUCUAUUUAUUUAAUAAAUGAUUGACAAAAAAAUCAUUUAGUAUUUAUUUUAGAAAAAUUC